UCCUUUCACCAAAAAGAGCCAUUCAAAAAGAGCCGUUCGUUCGCGAACGACCCAUCACUAGUUCCAACGAGUCCCCUGUCGGUCAAUUGCCCUCUAUAUAUCACCAACACAACAUUGCUUGCUCAAUACAAAGAGAACGCGGAUUCAUAAAGGCGCACGGUGAUUUGUAUUUAUUUCUACUACCAUUGGAGCGGUCCAAGGUGCUGAAACAUGAAUCAAAGUGCGGGAGUAGCCCAAAAUGUUCGUCGUUACUCUUCUGAUGAUAAGAAUCCUGGCCCUUUGUGCGAUUGUGGAACGGGGCUGCUAGCUUCCAUAGAAACUCAUAAUCGGAGGGGUUUCUAAAAAGAGACAACUGGACCACCAAUGGGGAGUGCCAUGGAGGCACUGGAAGUCGUCCUACCCCGAAGUCAAAGACAAUAUCGGAGCUGUGAGAUCCAGCAGGGGGAGAAGCUGUAGUAACCAUCCAUUUUAUGUUGCACAGCCAUCUGCCUCAUUACAAUAAUCUCCCACACUCCAAAGACGCUCUCUGAAGGAUUCACACGCAGUCUCUGAAACAGCUUUGAAGAGCAGAGCAUGCUCGAGGGAACAAAGCCAUAGAGAUGUGAGUGUGUAAAAGUGUGCAUGCAAUUUUUUUUUUUACCCUUCCAUUCAACCAGCCUUGCAUUUUAAACAGUAUUUGGCCAGAGGGAGCUACUUUAGCAGUUGCUCUAAAUAUGGAGAACUUAGACCACAUUUCAGUGACAUCUGUGGCACCCAUUGAGAAACUCAUUCACCUCUCCAACUGUGUCGUAUCUAAAUGAGCAAUGGCUGGUUGGCUUACAUGUGAGGGACUAUUUUGGGCUUGCAUCACUUAGAGGUGCCUUGCGUAGAUUUUUUAUUUGAAUACGCUGAUAGCUUAGGGCUCUAUUCAAUCCGCAGUGUUGAAGAUCCGCUUUAUAGUGCGGUUGAUAAUUAAAGGCAAUGUUCAUGCGGUCGUGGAGACUGCAUUCACGGUAAACGCUGCAUACUGUAUUACCAUUUGAAGGAUAUGUAUUUUCUGCUUGGAUAGUUCCAUCUGUGCCACUGAGUCUGGCUUUAAUUAUAGUUUGUCUACACAUUUAUAUCUGAUAUGUUUGAAUCACAUCUCCAUUUAAACCAAAAAUCUAAGUUUUUAUUAACAAAUGUUAAUUCCAUUUAAAAUCAAACUAAAGCUUGAAACCCUACACUCUAAGAAAAAAGGUUUCCCUCUGUAGAAAUGGUUCUACAUGGAACCCUAAAGGGUUCUACCUGGAACCAAAAGGUUUCUACUUGCAACCAAAAAGGGUUCUCCAAAGGGUUCUCCUAUGGGGAUAGCAGAAGAACCCUUUUAAGGUUCUAGUAAGCACCUUUUUUCUAAGAGUGAAGAUAUGUAUUGUCUAUUUUUGUUGAAUCCUGUGUUCAAUUAAAAAAAUAGCUUUUGAUGACUUCCCAAAUGCAACGUUGGCCUGAAUAGCAUCAUUUAUGAUAUGAGUGAUAAAAUGUGGUUACAUUUCAUUUGCUCUGUUAAACUUAUCCUUUGGAAUGACUUCAAUAGCAACAGUGAAUCUAAGUGGAGA
ensembl:lncRNA